GAUAAAAUGGCUGAGUUAUAGGUAAUAAAUUGUAAAUUUAUUCACGAAUUUUUAUUCUUUUAUCA
rnacentral:tRNA from 1 species